GUCCCUCAGGAAAAAUAAAGUUAUUCUAAAUAGAAGUUGUUGUCCUUAGACGCAUCCACGUCUCUACCAUGUAUGUAUUCUAAUUCUAUGGUCUCGACUCCCUAUUUCCCAUUCUUCAGAAAAUCUGUUCAAUUAAGAGUUGAACCGGUAUAGAGAUCACAUGGCAGAUGUGGAGUUGGAUAUGACUUUGAUAUGUUAAAACGCUUUAGAAGGUUCUCUUUCAACUGUGGGCUGGAGGAGGACUGUUAUCUUGCGAGACUGCCCAGAAUCGCUAUAAAGUGCAACAUGGUAGAUCUAGAUUUCUCGCCUAGCUCCACCUGCAGGUCUGAACUGGAGGUCACCAAGGAGGUGAAGAGAGAGAUGAGGCUGGAACGAGGCUGGGUCACAAACUAGCAGGAGAAAGAGAAAAUGAAACGAGAGAGACAACAGAACAGACUGUGUCUCAAAAGGCCAGAAGAAAGAGAGGCAUUCCCCAACCAAGACAGAUUCACAAGACAAUCCGGAGAGCAUGGAAAACAUCCUGAUAUCAGUAUCAGAUCCUGACAACACCCAAGAAACUGAGGGCUCAGGGCUGGUUGACUCUGUCUCCUUCACCUUGGCAACCUGUGGAAGUCUGAUUGGACAAGCUGGCUCCCUUCAGUCCAUCACCCAGCAACUGUCUGAAAUACACAACAGCCAAGAACAAACUUCUGGAAGUGUCAACUAUUGCAGACACAACAGCCAAGACUGAAC
rnacentral:lncRNA from 8 species